rnacentral:rRNA from 1 species
AUUGAACGCUGGCGGCAGGCCUAACACAUGCUAGUCGAACGAGUGGCGGACGGGUGAGUAAUGUCUGGGAAACUGCCCGAUGGAGGGGGAUAACUACUGGAAACGGGCGCUAAUACCGCAUACUAUCAGAUGAGCCUAGGUCGGAUUAGCUAGUUGGUGGGGGAAAGUCCUACCAAGGCGACGAUCCGUAUCUGGUCUGAGAGGAUGAUCAGUCACACUGGAACUGUGUCACGGUCCAGACUCCUACGGGAGGCAGCAGUGGGGAAUAUUGGACAAUGGGCGAAAGCCUGAUCCAGCCAUGCCUCGUGUGUGAAGAAGGUCUUCGGAUUGUAAAGUACUUUCAGCGGGGAGGCGUUACCCGCAGAAGAAGCACCGGCUAACUCCGUGCCAGCAGCCGCGGUAAUAC